AUUGAACGCUGGCGGCAUGCCUUACACAUGCAAGUCGAACGGCAGCACGGGUGCUUGCACCUGGUGGCGGGUGGCGAACGGGUGAGUAAUACAUCGGAACAUGUCCUGUAGUGGGGGAUAGCCCGGCGAAAGCCGGAUUAAUACCGCAUACGAUCUACGGAUGAAAGCGGGGGACCUUCGGGCCUCGCGCUAUCGGGUUGGCCGAUGGCUGAUUAGCUAGUUGGUGGGGUAAAGGCCUACCAAGGCGACGAUCAGUAGCUGGUCUGAGAGGACGACCAGCCACACUGGGACUGAGACACGGCCCAGACUCCUACGGGAGGCAGCAGUGGGGAAUUUUGGACAAUGGGCGAAAGCCUGAUCCAGCAAUGCCGCGUGUGUGAAGAAGGCCUUCGGGUUGUAAAGCACUUUUGUCCGGAAAGAAAUCCUUGGCUCUAAUACAGUCGGGGGAUGACGGUACCGGAAGAAUAAGCACCGGCUAACUACGUG
rnacentral:rRNA from 1 species